UACGUAGGCAGCGAGCGUUGUUCGGAAUUACUGGGCGUAAAGAGUGUGUAGGCGGUGCUCUAAGUUCGGUGUGAAAUCUCCCGGCUUAACUGGGAGGGUGCGCCGGAAACUGGAGUGCUCGAGCGUGGGAGAGGAAAGCGGAAUUCCUGGUGUAGCGGUGAAAUGCGUAGAUAUCAGGAGGAACACCAAUGGCGAAGGCAGCUCGCUGGGACGGUACUGACGCUGAGACGCGAAAGCGUGGGGAGCAAACAGG
rnacentral:rRNA from 1 species